GACAGAGGGGGCAAGCGUUGCUCGGAAUCACUGGGCGUAAAGGGCGCGUAGGCGGGAUGGCAAGUCAGUCGUGAAAUCUCUCGGCUCAACCGAGAAACGUCGGCUGAUACUGCCGUUCUUGAGGGAUGCAGAGGAGACUGGAAUUCCCGGUGUAGCGGUGAAAUGUGUAGAGAUCGGGAGGAACACCGGUGGCGAAGGCGGCAUCCUGGACCGACACUGACGCUGAGGAGCGAAAGCCAGGGGAGCAAACGGG
rnacentral:rRNA from 1 species